rnacentral:rRNA from 1 species
AGGGUUUGAUCAUGGCUCAGGAUGAACGCUGGCGGCGUGCUUAACACAUGCAAGUCGAACGAACCUUCGGGUUAGUGGCGGACGGGUGAGUAACGCGUGAGAAUCUGCCCUCAGGAGGGGGAUAACGGUUGGAAACGACCGCUAAUACCCCAUAUGCCUAUUGGUGAAAUGAAUUUCGCCUGAGGAUGAGCUCGCGUCUGAUUAGCUUGUUGGCGAGGUAAUGGCUCACCAAGGCUUCGAUCAGUAGCUGGUCUGAGAGGAUGAUCAGCCACACUGGGACUGAGACACGGCCCAGACUCCUACGGGAGGCAGCAGUGGGGAAUUUUCCGCAAUGGGCGAAAGCCUGACGGAGCAACGCCGCGUGAGGGACGAAGGCCUCUGGGCUGUAAACCUCUUUUCUCAAGGAAGAAGAUAUGACGGUACUUGAGGAAUAAGCCACGGCUAAUUCCGUGCCAGCAGCCGCGGUAAUACGGGAGUGGCAAGCGUUAUCCGGAAUUAUUGGGCGUAAAGCGUCCGCAGGCGGCUUUUCAAGUCUGCUGUUAAAACGUGGAGCUUAACUCCAUCAUGGCAGUGGAAACUGAAAGGCUUGAGUAUGGUAGGGGCAGAGGGAAUUCCCGGUGUAGCGGUGAAAUGCGUAGAUAUCGGGAAGAACACCAGUGGCGAAGGCGCUCUGCUGGGCCAUUACUGACGCUCAUGGACGAAAGCCAGGGGAGCGAAAGGGAUUAGAUACCCCUGUAGUCCUGGCCGUAAACGAUGAACACUAGGUGUCGGGGGAAUCGACCCCUUCGGUGUCGUAGCUAACGCGUUAAGUGUUCCGCCUGGGGAGUACGCACGCAAGUGUGAAACUCAAGGAAUUGACAGGGGCCCGCACAAGCGGUGGAGUAUGUGGUUUAAUUCGAUGCAACGCGAAGAACCUUACCAGGGUUUGACAUCC